ACCUACCUUAAUCAGGGGGAUAGCCCGAAGAAAUUCGGAUUAACACCGCAUAAAAACACAGAAUAGCAUUAUUCAAUGUUCAAAUAUUUAUAGGAUUAAGAUGGGCAUGCGUGUCAUUAGCUAGUUGGCGGGGUAACGGCCCACCAAGGCGACGAUGACUAGGGGAUCUGAGAGGAUGACCCCCCACACUGGUACUGAGACACGGACCAGACUCCUACGGGAGGCAGCAGUAAGGAAUAUUGGUCAAUGGAGGCAACUCUGAACCAGCCAUGCCGCGUGCAGGAAGACGGCCCUAUGGGUUGUAAACUGCUUUUAUCCGGGAAUAAACCUUUCUACGUGUAGAGAGCUGAAUGUACCGGAAGAAUAAGGAUCGGCUAACUCCGUGCCAGCAGCCGCGGUAAUACGGAGGAUCCAAGCGUUAUCCGGAUUUAUUGGGUUUAAAGGGUGCGUAGGCGGCCUGUUAAGUCAGAGGUGAAAGACGGUAGCUCAACUAUCGCAGUGCCUUUGAUACUGACGGGCUUGAAUGAACUAGAGGUAGGCGGAAUGAGACAAGUAGCGG
rnacentral:rRNA from 1 species